GAUGAACGCUGGCGGCGUGCCUAAUACAUGCAAGUCGAGCGAACAGAUGAGGAGCUUGCUCCUCUGACGUUAGCGGCGGACGGGUGAGUAACACGUGGAUAACCUACCUAUAAGACUGGGAUAACUUCGGGAAACCGGAGCUAAUACCGGAUAUUAUAUUGAACCGCAUUGUUCAAUAGUGAAAGACGGUUUUGCUUUCCCUUAUAGAUGGAUCCGCGCCGCAUUAGCUAGUUGGUAAGGUAACGGCUUACCAAGGCAACGAUGCGUAGCCGACCUGAGAGGGUGAUCGGCCACACUGGAACUGAGACACGGUCCAGACUCCUACGGGAGGCAGCAGUAGGGAAUCUUCCGCAAUGGGCGAAAGCCUGACGGAGCAACGCCGCGUGAGUGAUGAAGGUCUUCGGAUCGUAAAACUCUGUUAUUAGGGAAGAACAAAUGUGUAAGUAACUAUGCACGUCUUGACGGUACCUAAUCAGAAAGCCACGGCUAACUACGUG
rnacentral:rRNA from 1 species